ACGAGUGGCGGACGGGUGAGUAAUGUCUGGGAAACUGCCUGAUGGAGGGGGAUAACUACUGGAAACGGUAGCUAAUACCGCAUAACGUCGCAAGACCAAAGAGGGGGACCUUCGGGCCUCUUGCCAUCAGAUGUGCCCAGAUGGGAUUAGCUAGUAGGUGGGGUAACGGCUCACCUAGGCGACGAUCCCUAGCUGGUCUGAGAGGAUGACCAGCCACACUGGAACUGAGACACGGUCCAGACUCCUACGGGAGGCAGCAGUGGGGAAUAUUGCACAAUGGGCGCAAGCCUGAUGCAGCCAUGCCGCGUGUAUGAAGAAGGCCUUCGGGUUGUAAAGUACUUUCAGCGGGGAGGAAGGUGUUGUGGUUAAUAACCGCAGCAAUUGACGUUACCCGCAGAAGAAGCACCGGCUAACUCCGUGCCAGCAGCCGCGGUAAUACGGAGGGUGCAAGCGUUAAUCGGAAUUACUGGGCGUAAAGCGCACGCAGGCGGUCUGUCAAGUCGGAUGUGAAAUCCCCGGGCUCAACCUGGGAACUGCAUUCGAAACUGGCAGGCUAGAGUCUUGUAGAGGGGGGUAGAAUUCCAGGUGUAGCGGUGAAAUGCGUAGAGAUCUGGAGGAAUACCGAUGGCGAAGGCAGCCAUCUGGCCUAAUACUGACGCUGAGGUACGAAAGCAUGGGGAGCAAACAGGAUUAGAUACCCUGGUAGUCCAUGCCGUAAACGAUGUCUACUAGCCGUUGGGGCCUUUGAGGCUUUAGUGGCGCAG
rnacentral:rRNA from 1 species